rnacentral:lncRNA from 1 species
CAGCCCUGAGCCUCCGCAAGGAAGCAGCCUCCGGAGAGCGAGCUGGCCCGGUGCUGACUGAACUCACGUGUGGCUUCUAUGGGAUCUGUUAAGAUUUGGUGACAGUGUGGAGAGGCACGGCUCUUGCGGCUGCCACUGGCAGACACAAUCCUCGUAGGUCACCAAGGCCUGAAGUUGUACAUCAUGAACAUCUUCAUACCCACUGCUGUUACCUUGGUCCAGGACUUUAUCAUCUUUUACCUGUUUUAUUAUACCUGAUACCUACCAGAAUCCCUGGUCUCAGAAAGACAACCUCUAAUACAAGUGCCAGAGUUGUACAAACUCAUAUGUUAUUGUUAAAGAAGCUUGAAUUUGGAUGCUUUUGAGUACAAGUAACCAGAAAAACCCAACUGAGAGAACCUACAAGUUCC